AUGGCUCUGGGCUGGAGCAAGGCUUUCCUUAGAGAAGCCAGUCCCCUUCCCCUUGCCCCCGCACUGCUGUCCCCCUGGGCCACGCUGCCCCCACAGCCUCUGCCUGCUGUGUGGAGGCAACGAGGGGCGGCCUGCUGCUGGUGGAGGCCGGGGGAGCGGCUGCUCUGGCUAGGAGUGGGACAAUUAAUGUCCUCCGUCAGGGCGGCAAGUCUCCAGACUUUGAGAAACAUCCCGGGGUUGGGCCGUGCCUGCCUGUUCCUGCAGUGGCUGAAAUACAGCCUUAUCCUGAGGGAAAUGGCGGUGAGAGGCGGCUGCCGGCUGGGAAAGGGGGGAGGCCUUGUGGCUGCGGAGAGCAGGAGCUGCUGCCGGCUGCUGUGGUGCGAAACGAAGAAGCACUUGUGUCCCAACUUCUUCAGGAGCUUAAAAAGACCUUCCUCUUGCUUCAGAGAUAAGAUUUCAGUGUAUGAAGAUCCUACUGGUGAUGCAAUUUUUCUGAUAAAUUCCAUGAGAGAUCUUGAAGUGACCAGAGAGACUUUUAUUAACAAUAAAAGGUGCAGAGGGCAUGCUGAAGGAAAGACAUCUUCAUUCAGUGGGAUGAAUGCUCAUUCAUCCACUGUUGCAAGGCAAUGGAUGGUUGUGCACAAACAUGAGAGAAGUGGAUUCGUUCCUUAGCCAUUGGGUGCUACAGAAAUCUGGUACCCCAGAGCCAUUUAGCUGUGAAGUCAGGACUUUGUCCAGUUACUGGGUUCCCAUAUGAUAUUUUGUGGCUCUAGAAGUACCUACCCAUCCAAUAUGGCUUCUGCAGGGCCACAGAGAUGGUUUCAGUAAUCAUUUACCCUGCCUUCUCUUACUUAACGUUUCCUCUCUGUCUAAGCACCUUGGUGCUCUGAGGCUUUGAGAUUUCUGAAUUUCACAGCCAAGGACUGGGCAGUAUUCAGUGAUGAGCUUUUAAUUGCUUAGGGGGCGGGAUGAAGUUCUUUCCUAAGUGUACAGGGUAUCCUAAGGGAAAAAAAGAUUCCCUUUCCCUUCUUCUUUCCCUUUUUCUUUCCCUUCUUCUUUCCCUUCUU
rnacentral:lncRNA from 1 species